rnacentral:rRNA from 1 species
GAUGAACGCUGGCGGCGUGCCUAAUACAUGCAAGUCGAGCGAACAGACGAGGAGCUUGCUCCUCUGACGUUAGCGGCGGACGGGUGAGUAACACGUGGAUAACCUACCUAUAAGACUGGGAUAACUUCGGGAAACCGGAGCUAAUACCGGAUAAUAUAUUGAACCGCAUGGUUCAAUAGUGAAAGACGGUUUUGCUGUCACUUAUAGAUGGAUCCGCGCCGCAUUAGCUAGUUGGUAAGGUAACGGCUUACCAAGGCAACGAUGCGUAGCCGACCUGAGGGGGUGAUAGGCCACACUGGAACUGAGACACGGUCCAGACUCCUACGGGAGGCAGCAGUAGGGAAUCUUCCGCAAUGGGCGAAAGCCUGACGGAGCAACGCCGCGUGAGUGAUGAAGGUCUUCGGAUCGUAAAACUCUGUUAUUAGGGAAGAACAAAUGUGUAAGUAACUAUGCACGUCUUGACGGUACCUAAUCAGAAAGCCACGGCUAACUACGUG